UACGUAGGGUGCAAGCGUUGUCCGGAAUUAUUGGGCGUAAAGAGCUCGUAGGCGGUUUGUCGCGUCGGCUGUGAAAACCCGAGGCUCAACCUCGGGCCUGCAGUCGAUACGGGCAAACUAGAGUGUGGUAGGGGAGUCUGGAAUUCCUGGUGUAGCGGUGAAAUGCGCAGAUAUCAGGAGGAACACCGGUGGCGAAGGCGGGACUCUGGGCCGAUACUGACGCUGAGGAGCGAAAGCGUGGGGAGCAAACAGG
rnacentral:rRNA from 1 species